UUUAAAGGGCUGCCAGUAUUUUGACUGUACAAAGGUAGCAUAAUCAUUUGUCUUUUAAUUGAAGUCUGGAAUGAAUGGUUUGAUGAAAAAUAUACUUUCUUUUUUUUAUAGAAAAAAUUUAAUUUCUUAGUUAAAAAGCUAAGAUUUAUUUAUAGGACGAGAAGACCCUGUAGAACUUUAUUUUUGGGUUUUUGUAUUUGAUUUGGAAAAUAAUUUUAAUAUGGAAAUAUUGAAUUUUGUUGGGGUGACAGAAAAAAAUUAAUAACUUUUUCUCUUUUGAUCAUUAUAGAUGAUUUUUUGAUCCUUUAUUAUGGAUAUAAGAUUAAGUUACCCUUAGGGAUAACAGCGUUAUUUUUUCGGAGAGUUCAUAUCGAUGAGAAAGUUUGCGACCUCGAUGUUGGAUUAUAAUAAGAUGUGGGAGUAGAAUAUCAUAUUCUAGGUCUGUUCGACCUUUAAAUUUUUACAUGAUCU
rnacentral:rRNA from 1 species